CAACAAUUAGGGCAGAGUAAAGAGCAAAUGAGAAUACAGAGCUAGAGCCUGAGGUCGGUAAAUCCAGGAAGAUGGCUGAAGAUGAAGUUGAUUCAAGCCAAAGCAAGCAAUCAGAGUCCGUUCUUAUCCUCCUUCAUCCUGGACCUGUGACCACUAGAAGCCCUGAGAAGCGGUAUGCGGCAUCAUAAACUGCAGUUCCCCAACGGGGAGGAUGGGAGAUGGGGGCAUCUUGUCAGAGAUGUGAGUUAUGUGUGUGUCCUGGCACUGAAAUGGGGUGGGGUAUGACAAUAUGUCCUUGAGCCACAGACGUCUUGAAAUUACUUUAU